rnacentral:snRNA from 1 species
UCACUCUGGUGUCUCCUCACUUGCGGAUAAAUCUUUCGCCUUUUACUAAAGAUUUCCGUGGGGAGGCACAACACAAUGAGUCUGAACUCAUUUUUUACAACCCCAU